rnacentral:rRNA from 1 species
GUCCACGCCGUAAACGAUGAUCACUGGAUGUAUGCGAUAUACCGUAUGCGUCUGAGUAAAAGCAUUAAGUGAUCCACCUGGGGAGUACGUCGGCAACGAUGAAACUCAAAGGAAUUGACGGGGGCCCGCACAAGCGGAGGAACAUGUGGUUUAAUUCGAUGAUACGCGAGGAACCUUACCCGGGCUCGAACGCAGGAGGAAUAUAGUGGAAACAUUAUAGCUAGCAAUAGCCGCCUGCGAGGUGCUGCAUGGUUGUCGU